rnacentral:rRNA from 1 species
AACGUAGGAGGCAAGCGUUAUCCGGAUUUACUGGGCGUAAAGCGCGUGCAGGUGGUUCGGUAAGUUGGAUGUGAAAGCUCCUGGCUCAACUAGGAGAGGUCGUUCAAUACUACCGGACUUGAGAACAGUAGAGGGAGGUGGAAUUCCCGGUGUAGUGGUGAAAUGCGUAGAUAUCGGGAGGAACACCAGUGGCGAAAGCGACCUCCUGGACUGUUUCUGACACUCAGACGCGAAAGCUAGGGUAGCAAACGGG